ensembl:lncRNA
AGAAAGUGGAGCGGUGGAUAUAAGCAGAUUCCCCUGGGCUGAGGGGAACCCCCGGCUGCCUGCACCUGCAGACCAGUGUGGACCUAUCCGAUGUGAACUCAGAAGCACAGAUCUCAACACCAUUAAGACUUGCCAGUAUUUUGGGCCUUUGAUAGAACCUGCUUUAGAGUCUGAACACUUCUCCACAUGGGAAGUCUGGCCGAUGGAAGUCCAGCUGGACGAGCAGAAGCCUUCACAGGGCCCUUUGUCCAUCCUCUCAGAUCCCACUGGCAUCUCAGCACGAUUCCAAGUGAGGUUGGAUGUCGGCUUCAGAAACACCAUUGCUGAGGGUGAGUAUGGUCCCUUCAUUUUCCAGCUGGAGACUUGAGUCUCAGAGAGGUUAAGUGAUUACUCCUGGUCACACAGCUCCUAAACUGCAGACCCAGAGU